GGAAGUAAAAGUCGUAACAAGGUUUCCGUAGGUGAACCNGCGGAAGGAUCAUUAACGAACGUAAUUCGGCGUGGGGGAUGGAGGGAGCUGUCGCUGGCCUUUUUGCGAGGGCAUGUGCACGCUUUCUUCGGAGCCCUCGUCGUUUUUCAUAUCUUCACCCGUGCACACAAUGUAGGAUGCCCCUCCUUCGGGAGGGGGUACCUAUGUCUUCAUAUACAACAGUUUAGAAAGUCUCAGAACGUUUACUAUCGUCGAGCCGCGACUUCCAGGAGACGCGGGUCGGCGAGACAAAAGUUAUCACAACUUUCAGCAAUGGAUCUCUUGGCUCUCGCAUCGAUGAAGAACGCAGCGAAUUGCGAUAUGUAAUGUGAAUUGCAGAUCUACAGUGAAUCAUCGAAUCUUUGAACGCACAUUGCGCUCCUCGGUGUUCCGAGGAGCAUGCCUGUUUGAGUGUCAGUAAAUUCUCAACCCCUCUCGAUUUACUUCGAGGGGGAGCUUGGAUGGGUGGGGGUUGCCGGAGUCCAGGACUCGGGCUCUCCUGAAAUGCAUUGGCUUGCGGUCGACUUUCUCCUUUGCGCGACAAGGCUUUCGGUGUGAUGAUGAUCGCCGUUCGCCGAAGCGCAUGAACGAAGGUCUCGUGCCUCCAAUACGUCGACCCUUCUCUGAAGGGUCUUCCUUCUUUAUGUUUGACCUCAAAUCAGGUAGGACUACCCGCUGAACUUAAGCAUAUCAAUAAGCGGAGGAAAAGAAACUAACAAGGAUUCCCCUAGUAACUGCGAGUGAAGAGGGAAAAGCUCAAAUUUUGAAUCUGGCGGUCUUUGCGGCCGUCCGAGUUGUAAUCUAGAGAAGCGUCUUCCGCGCUGGACCGUGUAUAAGUUUCCUGGAAUGGAACGUCGUAGAGGGUGAGAAUCCCGUCUUUGACACGGACUNNCAGGGCUAUGUGAUGCGCUCUCGACGAGUCGAGUUGUUUGGGAAUGCAGCUCAAAUAGGGUGGUAAAUUCCAUCUAAAGCUAAAUAUAGGCGAGAGACCGAUAGCGAACAAGUACCGUGAGGAAAGAUGAAAAGAACUUUGGAAAGAGAGUUAAACAGUACGUGAAAUUGCUGAAAGGGAAACGCUUGAUGUCAGUCGCGUCCGCCGGGGAUCAGCCUCGCAUUUUGCUUGCGUACUUCCUGUGACGGU
rnacentral:rRNA from 1 species